CUCUGUUGCAAGAUGUUUCCCUCUCUCACAUUAUUCUGACUUUAUGACAAUAUCUGUCAGAAAUUACAUUAGUCUGUGCUGUUCUCAAAGGUUUUAUAUUCAGGUUGGUACCACCAGCAGCAACCUUGAAGAAACCUUGCACAGAAAACCAACAUACAUGGUUAGAGUACAACAGUGCUUAAAACAGUUCCGUAAUACAAAUGAGAUUUCAGUGACUAGUCCUGGGUGA
rnacentral:lncRNA from 1 species